rnacentral:rRNA from 1 species
CUACGGGGCGCUGCAGUUAGGAAUAUUCUGCAAUGCGCGUAAGCGUGACAGAUUGAAUCAGAGUGUUUUUCAAUGAAAAACUUUUGUGGAAUGCAAAAAGUUUCACGAAUAAGGACUGGGUAAGACGAGUGCCAGCCGCCGCGGUAAUACUCGCGGUCCAAGUCGCAGCCAUUUUUAUUGGGUCUAAAACAUCCGUAGCUUGCUUAAUAAGUUUCUUGUGAAAUCUUAUCUCUUAAAGAUAAGGCGAGCAAGAAGUACUGUUAAGCUAGAGACUGGAAGACGUAGGAAGUAUGUUCAAAGUAGCGGUAAAAUGUGUUAAUCUUGAGCAGACUCACAAUAGCGAAGGCAUCCUACGAGGACAGUUCUGACAGUAAGGGAUGAAGGCUAGGGGCGCAAAACGGAUUAGAUACCCCAGUAGUC